UGAAGAUGUAUUUUUGAAAAGAUUUAUUUAUUUAUUUUAGAGAGAGAGAGCACAAGCAAGAGGGGCAGAAGGAGAGGGAGAGAGAAUCUCAAGCAAACUCCCUAUGAGUGCAGAACCUGACAUGGGGCUCAAUCUCACAACCCUGAUAUCACAAUCCUGAGAUCGUGACCUGAGCUGAAAAUCAAGAGUUGAAUGCUUAACCAUCUACACCACCCGAACCUCCUACUAAUGAAGAUAUUUUUAAAAGUCAAGAUCGACUAAACCUAAGAUCGAAGAAACCUGAAAGAAAAUGAGAAGUUUGUCUUUUUCAUGGAGAAGGAGAUGUUUGGAGCAUCAUGGAUGUGAUGACUGCAGACCUAGUGGUGACCUUGUCCUCUACGCUAUCGAGACACUAGAGAGAGUAACGCAGAGGCCAGAGAGAAGUAGCAGAGACAGCAUCAUGGAAGGGUGAGUCCCGUCCCCUGUCCCCAACGUUUCCAGUUACUG
rnacentral:lncRNA from 1 species